UUGUCUUUUAGGUUACACAGUGCAUUUGGUGAAGGAUAAAAGCAUCCAUGCCAGUCUGAACACAUUGAUUGUGAAAGUCUCUGAUAAACAGGGCAGGUUUGUCCUCCAGAAUCUCUCUGUUGCUGCGUGUGAUUGUGCGGUUUCACCAAACUGUCUGAUGGAGCGCAACACACAGCAAAAAGUGGGAAGUGGCUUGAUAGGAAUUACCAUUCUUGCCGCGCUGAUGAUAUUUGCUUGUCUGUUGCUGUCUCUCGUUUGCUCUUAUGGGCCUGUGAAGUCUCUGGUGCAGGUAGACAAUGUCUUAGAAGAUGCCCUUCUGCCUUCUAACAUCGAGAAACCUGGCUCUGAUUGUGUGGUAAAACCUUACAUUAAGAUUUCUUGCGAAAAGCUAAAUGGCCCUUUCACAGUGAGGUCUAAUACAAAGAUAACAAAUGAAUGGUCUACUCUAUUUUUUUUACAUUCAUAAAGGUCCCGACUAUUCUUUUAAAGAAGGCAUCUGUUAGUCACUCAAAGGAUGCAACUUUUGUCAGUAAUGGGGCUCAACAGACAACUGACAUUCAGGGGGUAUCUAGCCAAAUUAUAGCCACUCAUAGUCUCCCAGUUCAAAUGGAUGAGUGCUGGUCUAGAGACAGAUCACAUUAUUCCAGUGAGAAACAGACAUGGAUGUGGAAACAGUAUCAGAGUGAAAACCGCUACCAGGGUUCAACAUUUAGCAGGAGGAGCUCACAAAGAAGACAGGGUACCUAUUUCAUCAGCAGCUCAACUCUACAAAGUUUGCUCUCUCAGAGAUUGCAUUCAAUACAGGGCCUAGAAAAUGAAUUGCUUGAUUACGAACCUCAGCUUUACGCAGUUGAGGACAACUCUGAUCAUUUUGUAGACCUGGACCCCAUAGACCUGCCUAUGAAUGAGUUUGAUCCUGAGCUGCUCUCAGACCUCGGACCAGCAUUUAAGCAUCUGGCUUCUAUCUGUAACCCAGGGACACUGUCAAAACCAGAAGUGAUGAAGAAUGGGAUCAGAUAGUCUAGUGAUGAAGAUGAGGAUGAAGAUGUUUCACCUUCUUAUUCAGGACUGGUCACUUGAAAGCAGAAAGAAAGAAAGAAACCAAUGGAGAGAUUUUUUUAAAUAAAAUUAAAAAAAUUUAAAGAAAAACUGCAG
rnacentral:lncRNA from 1 species